UUGCGGGGGGAUGGGGGGUCAGGCCGGGGAGGUGGGAGCCGCGGUGCAGUUCGCGCCGCCAACUGCUGGGUGAGUGUAGCGCAGUGGCCGGAUCCCGGUAACUAAAGUUCCGAGCAGCUUGACUAAACCCCUCAAAGCCAGGCACUGUCAAGGCUAACACCAGCGCCGAGGGCGGCAGACGGAUGUGUCCCAGAGGAGCGCGCGCCUCUCGGCAUCAAGGCUGAUGGAGCAGGCAGCGAGGGGGGCGGCCAGGAGCCGGGACAAGGCUCCUUAAGGAGGUGGAUUUGUAACCGAAAGGCCCAGGUGAGAUGUGCAAAUACCAAAGAACUAAAGAGGGUUCCCUUGGAAAGACGGUAUUACCUUUUCUCUUGAGCUCAUUGGAAAGCCAAGUCGACUAGCUAAUACACAAUACCAUCCUUGUUGAUGAACUUAUUGGCUGAAGACUCAGGUUCUCGGCAGAAUGGUUAAGUGAUCAGAAAGUCUUCACAACUGAACUUUGUCAAGGUAUUACUGUAAAUCCUGUUCCAGUGUGUGCAUAUAAACGCCUGCGUCGGCGAGCAGACAAGUAGCUUCAAACAGCUGUCAGUGUAUUAUCACACCCUCCAGAGAUCUUGCUUAUUCGGCUGUGCCCCGAACCUCACUGUCUUUAAUGGGCAGAUCUGAUACCUGUAAGACAAACCAGUUUCUGUCUUGUUAAUACCGGUAAUCUCUUAGACACAGGGCACAACCGUUCUACAAUGAGUAGAGUGGGAAGAAACACUGUCAGUAAAAAGGCCAGAGAAUCCACACUCACAGUUUGUAAAAUGGGAGAUAUGGCUAGGCCAUACUGGGCAGAGCCUUGAUAUUCAGGGUCUCUGGAGGGAUGGGAAGGCUGUUGAGACUGGGAGGAGAGGGAGGGUCAAUUCUGGCUCCUCUACAAGAGCUGAUGGGAACAAUAGAGAAGUAUUUCACACUUAGCAAUGUUUGUGAUUAGUUUUAACAAGAGUGGGGUAUUCUUAGUAAUGAACCAUUCCUAUAAGCCUUUUUAGACAUUUCAGAGGAGAUAAACAGAGCUGAAUACAAAUAAAGAAAUCUGAAGUCAGACUGCAGAGAGAUUCUGCAGGAAGAUUAUCCCAAAUCCAGGAAUUAGAGGCUGGACAGGAACUCAUUAUCUGUCUAUCCAACCCUUCUGCUUCCGUAUGCUCCGCUGCAUCUCACUGGGGUACAGAAAUCUCCUCUUCAGCUAUUUUCUAACAACUGAACAGUGAACAAGUGUAUUUUCCCUCUUAUUUGAACACAUGGCUCUAUAUUAAAUGACUGUUUGGAGAACCACACCAGGGACUUGUGCAGCAAAAGUACUGCUCUUCCAGGGAGUUCACAAUACUGUCAUUCAGAUAAAGGUGCCUUUUGGAAUAGUGCAAAGAAUUUCAAAAUUUGAAUUUUAAUUACAUUUCUUUUGUGGAGAGCAGUCUUUGAGGAUUUGGCCUUUUGGGAUGGCUUCUGUUUCGCACACCAUAGAAAACAAUUUUUGACAAACCGAGUCCUUUUCUGUGAUCUUUUAUUGUAUAUUAAUAGCUAUUUCUAUUUACUCAAAGUACUUUUUUGUGCGUGUAUCAUGUGUUGGCCAUUGUUCAAGACACAGGGGAUAUAGCAAUAAACUAAAAGAGCAAUAAUCCCA